rnacentral:lncRNA from 1 species
AUAUAAUAUUAUACAUUUUAGAUUGGGGGUUGCACUAAAAUAUAAAUAGUGAUGCAUGGAGUUGGUAAAAUACCCAAAACAACUAUGUGGUACAUACUAUAGAAAAUAGAAAUACAGGACAAUUUACCAAGCAUGCAUACCCUCUUCCGUCUAAUCUUUAAAAAUGCAUUACUUUAAAUUCUGAUUUCUAAAAUUUUGAAGUAUAUACUAUAGAAUAAUAUUUUUACCAUUGAAGCAGUCAUAAGCAGUGUCCAGAAAUGGCAUACCUAUACUUUUUCUUAAUGAAAAACAAACUUUUUUACCAUUAAUUAUCGAAUGGUUUUUUUCUUGAUGAAUUGUAUCUACAUGCAUCUACAUCAAAACUCAAAUGAGUAGGUUCUUAGGUAAUCUUUGAAUUAUUGCACUUUUUUUAUUAUGGAUUUUAUGUUACAUUAUUAAUACUUUUACAAAUUAUGAUGAAGUGUGAAUGUCUGAUUGAAAUUAAUAAUUAUACCUACUAUAUUUUUCAAAUUAAUUAUAAUCAAAGCACCUUAUAUUUCUAAACUAUAAUCACGGAACUAUUUCAGUAUUAUCCUUGUGUAAUAAAUACGUGCCUAUCUAGGUGCGCAUAGCUAAAUAACUAAAAAACUAAUCGUUCAAAUUUCGAGUUUGAUACACAGUGUGUUGGAAAAAACCAGGGCAUAGAUACUGUGUGUUAUGGCCAAAUCGGGUGACUGUGGCCUUGAAGACGGUCUUCGGGGGGCGUGGUAUACGUUAUCAAUUGAAUAUUUCAUAUUAUAAAUAUUAUAAAUUAUUUUAAAAAUGUCAAUUAACAAUAUUAUAAUAUUUAAUUUAUAUUUCAUAUAAAAGUGUAUGGAAUUAUACUUAAAAAAACAAUAUCACAUGCUUAAAAAACUUUAAACAAAUUAAAACGGUCGUCAUCCGUUCGUAGUCAGUGGAUUGUUUCUGUUUAUAUUAUAAUUUCGUAACAAAGAGGGAUACACUAUACGUUGCCAACAUUCUAUAUCAGAUCACGGUACAACUUUUAGAGUACAAUACUUCAUACCGUAGGAAUACAGAAACCCGAUCAGCUGAUCGAGUGUCGCUUCUAUAUAUAAUAUAUAUAUAUAUAUUGUCCUGUGAUAAAACAUACUUGUAAUUUUAGUUUGAAAAAUAUUAAUUCUUAUUAUGUGGUAUUAAAUUCGAAGUAUUUGAAAAGAACGUCCUAAACGUGAGGGCAUACUUAAAAAAUCAGGAUUAAAAAUAUAAAUUCGGCAUAAGCACAUUAUGUUUGGUGAAUCGUUCAGUUCAUUAUAAUAUACGAGUAUAUGACAAUAAUAUUAUACACCUGCACAUUAUAUCCACACGAGCGGUAGAAAUGCGGUAGUGAGACACCGCAUGCGCCGCAUGAUGUAAUAUAACCAUAUAGGUAUUAUGGAUAUUAUGGUAAACGAAAUUUGUUCGACCUCGACCGGGCCGGUACGUGUAACGCAGAGAUUAUAUUAUUAUAUAUACUUUGUACAUGGGUUCCAAUCCCACCUGUAUAAUAUCUUCAUAGAUGGGCCCCUCAGACUCUUGCACAAUAACCAACGCACGCACGCACGCUAGUCUUAUCCUCGUCCAACACGAGUCUGCUCCUUAUACAAUAUAAAAUAUAUUAUAUGAAAAUAUCGUUCUCGUCAGUAGUUUUGUAGUUUAUGAUUCUGAAUCCGUCUCGUUUUUCAAUCAUUACAAUCGUUUUGCGCCCAAACAGCGAUCUGAUACGCGUUGAAACCGGACAGCGCCGGACAUGGCAGACGUAUUAUUGAUUAAGAUGAUAUGGACUUCCAGCCAAAACGAUUAUAAGUACAUUUAAGUUAAAUAUCUGAAUUUGUAAUCUGAAACUUUGUUUUGUUGAAUUUGUCGUGAAUACUAAUUAAUACCUUCACUUAGGAGGUGCUGCGCUCCAGAAAGCCUAAUCCCUGAGAUGAUAACGGAACGAUAAACUUGAAAAUCGAUGAGAUGAACUUACGUAUAAAGGAAUACAACUUACAAUUGGUUCAGGAAAAUGUUUCUAUAGUGAGUGGGAGGAGCGGGAAAAUUCACAUCACGUAAUUUUGCGUGACCAGACCAUAUACGUUAGAUAAUAUUAUGUAUAAUGACAGGUUCUAGAACACGCAUGCGUAUAGUUCGAGUACCUACAGUUAUUAAUCAAUUGCUAGUUCUUCCACGAUGAAGUAAAUUGAAACAAAUUCCCCGAUUCGAGUGGGUACGAGAUAAGUGACAAACGAUGUGUGGCCGGAGGCGUGAAAUACGAUUAUUAUAGGUAUUUGGUACCCACUCGUAUAAUUGACAGUGAAUCGUCACUGUUAUAUUAUAUUGUGUAGAUAAAAUAAAUCUAUUGUACGUUACUGUAUCGUGAUUUAAUAAUAUGUGCAUAUGUGUUUAUGUUUUUCAAAUUCAUUUAUUAAUUAAUAAAUACGGCUUAAAAUGUUGAGGUUUUUAAGCUUCAUCAUAAAAAUGUUCUAUAGUGUGUACACUUCAGGCGAUAUUUAUCAAAACGCUGAAGUACUUUGUUUGUGGACUAUCAAUGCGAACGUACAAUAUUUAAGACAUGCGUGGUGACAAUAUUAAAUGGUUGAAGGUCCAUCAUCUAUAUAUGCAGUUGUCCAUGGACUUAGGAACAUUGAAAUACGAUUCAAUUACAAAUCCCCGAGAAUCUCAACAAUAACUUCAUUGUAAGGUAAAACCUUUUACAUUAUUAACAAUCUUACUUGGCGUAAAUUUAUCUUAUGAAAACACGGGAGCGCAACUGAACAAAUAUUGCAAAAUCACAAAAUAAAUAUUUUGGUUUAGAUAAUAUUAUUAUUAAAUUAAAUCCAGAUCCAAUCAAACACAUCGAUAACGAGUAAGGCGGUGCGUGUGGAAAAAAAUCUAAUAUAUCUAUUAUACUUGAAUACAGUUAUCUUUGCUUUUUGGGACUCAUUGUAUAGAUCACGUGUUAUUAAUUAGUCCUGAUUAAGUGGUUGUCCUAAUUAACCUGCAAACGGUGUCUCUAUUAAGCGAAAACUGCUGUAUAUUACUAAUAAUAUAUAAAAAUACAAUUUUGUUCUACAGUCUACCAAUCUAAUAUCUAAUAUGUUAGUAUAAUUUAAGGAAUAUUAACUGUUACUUUGAAUUCUUACAUAGGCAGAGAGUAUAGGUGGAAUAACUCACGUUGACUUAAUCUCCUGAAAUACUUUUUAAGACCCCUAAAACUAAUUUUUUUAAAUUAGUUUCUUAAAUUAUACAUAUGAUCUUUUUGAUUUUAAGAUAAAAUCAAUUACCGUUUAUUGAAUAAUUUAUUAUUCCCCAGACAGUCAGACUUAAGACACAGAACUUUAAAUAUACUAGAAACAUAUUAUAACUGCAGAUGUAUAUAUCUAUUAAUAAAACCUGGCAUAAAUGACUAGCAGACUGUAUCGGCAAACCAGCCAGAGGGUUGUACACUGAUAUAACGAUAACUAUUUCACUAAAACAAAUUAUUAUUAUCUUAAAUUAGUAAUAACUGUAUAUUAUGCUAUAAUACUAUUCUACUAUUGUAUUUGUCAUAAAUAACAAAAGGUAGGUAAGUAUAAAGUGAUUUUGUUAUUAAUUUUUUUUUGGCAAAUUUGUUGAGGGCGAAGAAGCAAAGGCAUAAUAGUACUCAAUAUGGUAUCGAAUAAUAUGGAAAACAUAUUAAAUUAAAUCAGUUAAAAAUAAGUCAAUUAUUUUGUUACUCUUGAAUUGCACAGCGAUUUUACAACUUUAAUUUGGUAUAACCACUCCGUUAAACAUUAGUCCUAAUAUUCUUUUACAUUGUGCACUGUUGAGAAAUCACAAGCUUGAAUCCACUAAAACUAAAUUAUUAAAUCAAGAAAUAUUUAUAUAGGUAGCUAUUUAUUUAUUUUCAAUAUUUAUAACUAUAGGUAUAGUUGUAUAGGUACUGCGUGGUUAAAUAAAAAUAUUUAGUUAAAUUUAAGACUUAACUACAGCUGUAGUUAUAGAAUCAUAUAUAAACGUGUUCUUAACUUGACGUACUUACCUAAUCAACCAGAUCAAUCUAUAAGUAAAAAUUGCAAUAUAUUGUACAUCAGAUUCCAUACAUAAACCGGUUAAUUUAAACAAUAUUAAAAAAAUAUGAUUAUUGUAUUUAGUUCAUAUAGUAUUGGUAUAGACGGUUUUCAGGAAAAAGGGUAUAAGUCAAUUUGUAUAAACAAAAAUAAUAUCAUACAUUUAUUUUGUAGGAAAAAUGUAAUAUAACUGUUGUAUUUGUUUCGAUCGAUAAACGCGUUGGACAAUACGCUUUUGAGAUUUUAAAUAUCUAUUUCGCGUAAAAGCAUUCAGGAAACAUCAAACCUGUAUAGUGUUCCCAAAUCGUGAACACGUGGUACAGUCCGAAAACCAGCAAACCUAAAAAUGGAUUUCACAUCAUAAUAUUAUAUUAUACGGAUAGAGUUCCUGAACCAAGAACGAAAAAUAUCUAUUUCAGUAAAAUAUCGAUUUCGCUAGGCGAAAGGUUAAAAACGUCACAGCGGUGCAUGCAUCGAAUUCCGCAGCAUAUGAGUGAAGGUUUUCAGCAGUAUAUAUAAUAUAGGUACAGUAUAUUUUAAAAUUGCAGGCAGGGUCAAUACUCAAGACAGGUGCGGUGGAGAGGCAAACGGGGAAAUUGCUUCAAGUGGUACAUUUUUUUUAUAAGACGGCUUUUCAGUAGGUAGUGCUUUAUGUUGUACCAAAUUUUUAGAAAACGGGAUAUAUAAAUAAAAACAGUAUGAUAUUUGGUUUUCAGAUUGUAUUUACUUUUUUUCUUUUUCAAGUGACGUGGAUACGAUUUAUUAAUUUAUUAUUAAUUUUAAUUGUUUCGGUUUCGACUACAAUAAGCAUGUACAAUUUAGGUACUUUGUUUCCAUAAAAUUUGGUCCUGGAUGAUAAAUUAGUGUGUUAUAGAAAUGCUAGAACAGCGGAUACAAUAUGUUAAAAUUUAGCCCCACCCCGCCCAUAAAAAUAUCUCAUGUACCAUGUCAAAACAAUUGUUAGUUUCUAUGGUUGUUUUGGCAAUUUAAUUUUAUUAAACAAUUUUUAAUAUAUUUUGUAACUCUAUCGUUAUUGAGAUUUAGUCGAUGAGUUGUAUCCUCCUCAUAGGCGCAGCUAUAGGGUUGUUAUUCUGGAGGAAUAACAGCCCCUAUUACAAAACUAUUAACUUAUAAUAACCCAUAGAAAGGGGGGGGGUAUAUCUAAAAUCUAAAUCAAUAAAGGAUAUUUUUUUUUUUGCGAGGGGGCAAAAAAUAAUUAGGUUGGGCUAUGCCCUCCAUGACUAGUGCUCUAGCUAGUUUUUCCACUGCUCCUCCCAUCGUCAAGUCAAAGCAGAGAAAAUAUGUGAUAAUAUGCAAGAUACGCAUAAUAUCUAUUUGACGUCAAUAAACACUUUUAAAAUAAUAA